rnacentral:rRNA from 1 species
UACGUAGGGUGCAAGCGUUAAUCGGAAUUACUGGGCGUAAAGCGUGCGCAGGCGGUUAUGUAAGACAGUUGUGAAAUCCCCGGGCUCAACCCUGGGAACUGCAUCUGUGACUGCAUAGCUAGAGUACGGUAGAGGGGGAUGGAAUUCCGCGUGUAGCAGUGAAAUGCGUAGAUAUGCGGAGGAACACCGAUGGCGAAGGCAAUCCCCUGGACCUGUACUGACGCUCAUGCACGAAAGCGUGGGGAGCAAACAGG